AUUGAACGCUGGCGGCAUGCUUUACACAUGCAAGUCGAACGGCAGCGCGGGCUUCGGCCUGGCGGCGAGUGGCGAACGGGUGAGUAAUACAUCGGAACGUGCCCAGUAGUGGGGGAUAGCUCGGCGAAAGCCGGAUUAAUACCGCAUACGACCUGAGGGUGAAAGCGGGGGAUCUUCGGACCUCGCGCUAUUGGAGCGGCCGAUGGCAGAUUAGCUAGUUGGUGGGGUAAAGGCCUACCAAGGCGACGAUCUGUAGCUGGUCUGAGAGGACGACCAGCCACACUGGGACUGAGACACGGCCCAGAGUCCUACGGGAGGCAGCAGUGGGGAAUUUUGGACAAUGGGCGAAAGCCUGAUCCAGCAAUGCCGCGUGUGUGAUGAAGGCCUUCGGGUUGUAAAGCACUUUUGGCGGGAACGAAAAGGACUGUGCCAAUACCACGGUUCGAUGACGGUACCCGCAGAAUAAGCACCGGCUAACUACGUG
rnacentral:rRNA from 1 species